GUUAGGCAGGAUACAUGAAGACUUAAGGCAGAAGACAAACCAAGCAGCUGAUCUUAGAGACUCAAAUUCAAGAGGGUACGAACAAGUGGAUUUAAAACAACUUUCAGAUAACGGUGCCGGAUUACAAGUACACGGAGUGCGGCAAA